UGGGCAGUUAGCUCAGUUGGUAGAGCAACGGACUCUUAAUCCGUGGGUCCAGGGUUCGAGCCCCUGACUGCCCAUC
rnacentral:tRNA from 6 species